AUUGAACGCUGGCGGCAUGCCUUACACAUGCAAGUCGAACGGUAACAGGUCUUCGGAUGCUGACGAGUGGCGAACGGGUGAGUAAUACAUCGGAACGUGCCUAGUAGUGGGGGAUAACUACUCGAAAGAGUGGCUAAUACCGCAUGAGAUCUACGGAUGAAAGCAGGGGAUCGCAAGACCUUGUGCUACUAGAGCGGCAGAUGGCAGAUUAGGGAGUUGGUGGGAUAAAAGCUUACCAAGCCGACGAUCUGUAGCUGGUAUGAGAGGACGAGCAGCCACACUGGGACUGAGACACGGCCCAGACUCCUACGGGAGGCAGCAGUGGGGAAUUUUGGACAAUGGGCGCAAGCCUGAUCCAGCAAUGCCGCGUGCAGGAUGAAGGCCUUCGGGUUGUAAACUGCUUUUGUACGGAACGAAAAGCCCUGGGUUAAUACCCUGGGGUCAUGACGGUACCGUAAGAAUAAGCACCGGCUAACUACGUGCCAGCAGCCGCCGUAAGAC
rnacentral:rRNA from 1 species